UCUAAUAUGGCAGAUUAGUGUAAUGAAUUUAAGCUUCAUAUAUAAAGUUUAAAACUUUUAUUAGAA
rnacentral:tRNA from 1 species